CCCCUAGAUGUUCUGGGCCGCACGCGCGCUACACUGAACAGUUCAACAAGUCUUAACCUUGGCCGAUAGGUCUGGGUAAUCUUUGAACGCUGUUCGUGAUUGGGAUAGACCUUUGCAAUUAUGGGUCUUCAACGAGGAAUUCCUAGUAAACGCAAGUCAUCAGCUUGCAUUGAUUACGUCCCUGCCCAUUGUACACACCGCCCGUCGCACCUACCGAUUGAAUGGUCCGGUGAAAUCUCGGGACGGCGGCUUGGUCGCUUGCGUCCGACUGCUGAAACUUGAUUAAACCAUAUCAUUUAGAGGAAGGUGAAGUCGUANCA
rnacentral:rRNA from 1 species